GCGGAAGGCCCUUCGGGGUACUCGAGCGGCGAACGGGUGAGUAACACGUGAGCAACCUGCCCUAGGCUUUGGGAUAACCCUCGGAAACGGGGGCUAAUACCGAAUAGGACCUCUGACCGCAUGGUUGGUGGUGGAAAGUUUUUCGGCCUGGGAUGGGCUCGCGGCCUAUCAGCUUGUUGGUGGGGUGAUGGCCUACCAAGGCGACGACGGGUAGCCGGCCUGAGAGGGCGACCGGCCACACUGGGACUGAGACACGGCCCAGACUCCUACGGGAGGCAGCAGUGGGGAAUAUUGCACAAUGGGCGGAAGCCUGAUGCAGCGACGCCGCGUGAGGGAUGACGGCCUUCGGGUUGUAAACCUCUUUCAGCAGGGACGAAGCGUAAGUGACGGUACCUGCAGAAGAAGCGCCGGCCAACUACGUGCCAGCAGCCGCGGUAAGACGUAGGGCGCGAGCGUUGUCCGGAUUUAUUGGGCGUAAAGAGCUCGUAGGCGGCUUGUCGCGUCGACUGUGAAAACCCGCAGCUCAACUGCGGGCCUG
rnacentral:rRNA from 1 species